rnacentral:rRNA from 1 species
CAGCAGCCGCGGUAAUACGAAGGGUGCAAGCGUUAAUCGGAAUUACUGGGCGUAAGGGGUGCGUAGGCGGUUAGUUAAGUCUGUCGUGAAAUCCCCGGGCUCAACCUGGGAAUGGCGAUGGAUACUGGCUGGCUAGAGUGUGUCAGAGGAUGGUGGAACUUCCGGUGUAGCGGUGAAAUGCGUAGAGAUCGGAAGGAACAUCUGUGGCGAAGGCGACUAUCUGGGCCAACACUGACACUGAGGCACGAAAGCGUGGGGAGCAAACAGGAUUAGAUACCCCGGUAGUCCCUGUCUCUUAUAC